rnacentral:rRNA from 1 species
AUUGAACGCUGGCGGCAUGCCUUACACAUGCAAGUCGAACGGUAACAGGUCUUCGGAUGCUGACGAGUGGCGAACGGGUGAGUAAUGCAUCGGAACGUGCCCAGUUGUGGGGGAUGACUGCUCGAAAGAGCAGCUAAUACCGCAUACGACCUGAGGGUGAAAGCGGGGGAUCGCAAGACCUCGCGCAAUUGGAGCGGCCGAUGUCAGAUUAGGUAGUUGGUGGGGUAAAGGCCUACCAAGCCGACGAUCUGUAGUUGGUCUGAGAGGACGACCAGCCACACUGGGACUGAGACACGGCCCAGACUCCUACGGGAGGCAGCAGUGGGGAAUUUUGGACAAUGGGCGCAAGCCUGAUCCAGCAAUGCCGCGUGCAGGAAGAAGGCCUUCGGGUUGUAAACUGCUUUUGUCAGGGAAGAAAUCCUCUGGGUUAAUACCCCGGGGGGAUGACGGUACCUGAAGAAUAAGCACCAGCUAACUACGUGCCAGCCGCCGCCGUAA